rnacentral:rRNA from 1 species
UACGUAGGUGGCAAGCGUUUGUCCGGAUUUAUUGGGUUUAAAGGGUGCGUAGGCGGAUGCUUAAGUCAGAGGUGAAAGACGGCCGCUCAACGGUCGCAGUGCCUUUGAUACUGGGUAUCUUGAGUGCAGACGAGGUCUGUGGAAUGGAUGGUGUAGCGGUGAAAUGCUUAGAUACCAUCCAGAACACCAAUUGCGAAGGCAGCAGACUAGGGUGCAACUGACGCUGAGGCACGAAAGUGCGGGGAGUCAAACAGG